AUUGAACGCUGGCAGCAGGCCUAACACAUGCAAGUCGAGCGGAGCGGCGGACGGGUGAGUAAUGCCUAGGAAUCUGCCUGGUAGUGGGGGAUAACGUCCGGAAACGGGCGAUAAUACCGCAUAAGACCAGAUGAGCCUAGGUCGGAUUAGGUAGUGGGGGGGGUAAAGGCCUACCAAGGCGACUAUCCGUAACUGGUCUGAGAGGAUGAUCAGUCACUCUGGAACUGAGACACGGUCCAGACUCCUACGGUAGGCAGCAGUGGGGAAUAUUGGACAAUGGGCGAAAGCCUGAUCCAGCCAUGCCGCGUGUGUGAAGAAGGUCUUCGGAUUGUAAAGCACUUUAAGUUGGGAGGCGUUACCAACAGAAUAAGCACCGGCUAACUUCGUGCCAGCAGCCGCGGUAAUUC
rnacentral:rRNA from 1 species